UUGGCAAAGGAAAAAGUUGUUUAGAAUGACCUCACCAAUCAUCCCUCUUCCGUUCCUACCCCAGUUCUGGGACACCCUGUAUACCAUUACCACGUAUGGGAAGAUGCUACGCACAACAGCGUUUAUCGAUGUACGUAUUUGAAGCACCCGAAAAUAUUCAUUUAAAGCCUACUCUUAGAAUAUUAACGAUAUAACCAACAUACAUAAGGAUAAUGAUCGUAACAUUAAAUUAUGAAUCUGCUUAUGGAAUACAUUUUUCAUUAAUCAUGUUGAAAAAAAAAAUUGUAAUUGGAGUAAGAAUGUCAGUCACCUAUCAAUAAACUCAACAAAAAACCACUGUGAAAGGAUUCAACAAUGUUGUUAGUCCUGACUGCUGAGCCAUACACGCUGACCUUCGAAGAAAUAGGUAGCCAUACACUUCUUAGAUACGCCAUAAACAUAAGAACAUUUGGAUAUGUGUCGGAUAAACGAUCAGCGACUAACUGAAUUUGAUGUAAUGCUUCUGGAAACAUAUCGGAUGGAGCUAAAGGCAUUGUCAUAGCCAUUGACAGAAUCUCUUUUGGUGCUCCUUGCAACCCCAAAUUCUUCCACUUCCUUAAUACAGCCUGAAUAAUAAGAAAAGGAUUAUUCAAUUCUGUAUUAAGCACUUCAAGGAGAAAAAAUAGUAUUUUCAAAUAUAAAAUAUUUGUCAGUCUCAAACAGAUUCCAGAAACAUAAUCCGACUAUCCAAUGGUACGUUCUUUGAUUAAGAAACAAAACACAUGUAUGUAUGGUAAUUGUUAUUUGGCCGUUAAGACAAUGGUUUUCUCUGGUUACCCUGGUUACCCCGGUCCAGAUUGAUCUAGAUCUAAGAGAUGCGAUUAUAAUCUCAACGAAAAACGGAAUUUCAGUUUACUGUUUUAUGUGAAUGUCGUACUAAGACCAUGUACAAAGCAAUAUGGAGAAAACAGUGUUUCUUAUUCCACGAUUGCAAAACAACUCAGAAAGUGUCAUGAGAUGAUGUUACAUCAACCUCAACGGAUAACAUUAAUGUAUGUAUAGAAAGUCGAGGAGAUAACAGAAAACAAGUGUUGUGUACAUUUAGGAAACAGGAACAAGGAAGAAGCAAUAGAGGGUGAUAUUUCAUCACCAUCUAAUGACACUCCCAGUGAUAUUUGCACAAAGUCUUUACUGGAAUUUCAAUUAAGCGUCGAUGGUAUGACAGAUGAUACUGACGUUUGUAUAAGUGGUAGUCAAAUUAAUGAACAGAAUUUAAUGGAAGAAUGGUCUGGACGAAGGAGUUGCUGCUGCAAGUGAGACGUCUCCAGAAUAGUACUACCACGUAAUUCCAUUUAUUGCUACAAAACUAUUUAUUUGAAAAAAGAAGAAAACAAUGUGAAAUGUAAUUUAAAUUCUAUAUUAUGGAAAUUAGAAUAGAAAAUUAAAGUUCAAGAGCUUCAUCUACCCUUAUUAAACUAUUUACUUCUAAUAUGUUGGCGUUACAUUGUUUUUAAGUAAACUUAUCUAAUAUAAUACCCGUCUUGCUUGGAUAAUUUCUUCAGUGUAUCUAUUUAAUACUUUUACUCCAUAAUAUCUUUGUUGCCAUUUCUCCUUCUAUGUCUGAUCAAGCACUGAAAAUAAAGAGAAAGACAUGACAUGUAAUCAUAUAUGUAUAAUCAACAACUGCAUUUUGACAUAGACAAUAUAUUAGAGACAA